GACGAACGCUGGCGGCGUGCUUAACACAUGCAAGUCGAGGGCACUAUGGGGGCAACCUUGUAGUGACCGGCGAACGGGUGCGUAACACGUGAGCGACCUUGCCUCGUGGUGGGGGAUAGCCGGCCCAACGGCCGGGUAAUACCGCAUAUGGUGCUUCUCUCGCAUGGGAGAGGUAGCAAAGCUGAGUCGCAAGACUUGGCGCCACAGGGGGGCUCGCGGCCUAUCAGCAGUUGGGGGGUAAUGGCCCACCAAGGCGACGACGGGUAGCUGGUCUGAGAGGAUGGCCAGCCACAUUGGGACUGAGAGACGGCCCAGACUCCUACGGGAGGCAGCAGUGGGGAAUCUUGCGCAAUGGCCGAAAGGCUGACGCAGCGACGCCGCGUGUGGGAGGAAGCUCGUUCGGGGU
rnacentral:rRNA from 1 species